UUUAUGGAGAGUUUGAUCCUGGCUCAGGAUGAACGCUGGCGGCGUGCCUAAUACAUGCAAGUCGAGCGAACGGACGAGAAGCUUGCUUCUCUGAUGUUAGCGGCGGACGGGUGAGUAACACGUGGAUAACCUACCUAUAAGACUGGGAUAACUUCGGGAAACCGGAGCUAAUACCGGAUAAUAUUUUGAACCACAUGGUUCAAAAGUGAAAGACGGUCUUGCUGUCACUUAUAGAUGGAUCCGCGCUGCAUUAGCUAGUUGGUAAGGUAACGGCUUACCAAGGCAACGAUGCAUAGCCGACCUGAGAGGGUGAUCGGCCACACUGGAACUGAGACACGGUCCAGACUCCUACGGGAGGCAGCAGUAGGGAAUCUUCCGCAAUGGGCGAAAGCCUGACGGAGCAACGCCGCGUGAGUGAUGAAGGUCUUCGGAUCGUAAAACUCUGUUAUUAGGGAAGAACAUAUGUGUAAGUAACUGUGCACAUCUUGACGGUACCUAAUCAGAAAGCCACGGCUAACUACGUGCCAGCAGCCGCGGUAAUACGUAGGUGGCAAGCGUUAUCCGGAAUUAUUGGGCGUAAAGCGCGCGUAGGCGGUUUUUUAAGUCUGAUGUGAAAGCCCACGGCUCAACCGUGGAGGGUCAUUGGAAACUGGAAAACUUGAGUGCAGAAGAGGAAAGUGGAAUUCCAUGUGUAGCGGUGAAAUGCGCAGAGAUAUGGAGGAACACCAGUGGCGAAGGCGACUUUCUGGUCUGUAACUGACGCUGAUGUGCGAAAGCGUGGGGAUCAAACAGGAUUAGAUACCCUGGUAGUCCACGCCGUAAACGAUGAGUGCUAAGUGUUAGGGGGUUUCCGCCCCUUAGUGCUGCAGCUAACGCAUUAAGCACUCCGCCUGGGGAGUACGACCGCAAGGUUGAAACUCAAAGGAAUUGACGGGGACCCGCACAAGCGGUGGAGCAUGUGGUUUAAUUCGAAGCAACGCGAAGAACCUUACCAAAUCUUGACAUCCUUUGACAACUCUAGAGAUAGAGCCUUCCCCUUCGGGGGACAAAGUGACAGGUGGUGCAUGGUUGUCGUCAGCUCGUGUCGUGAGAUGUUGGGUUAAGUCCCGCAACGAGCGCAACCCUUAAGCUUAGUUGCCAUCAUUAAGUUGGGCACUCUAAGUUGACUGCCGGUGACAAACCGGAGGAAGGUGGGGAUGACGUCAAAUCAUCAUGCCCCUUAUGAUUUGGGCUACACACGUGCUACAAUGGACAAUACAAAGGGCAGCGAAACCGCGAGGUCAAGCAAAUCCCAUAAAGUUGUUCUCAGUUCGGAUUGUAGUCUGCAACUCGACUACAUGAAGCUGGAAUCGCUAGUAAUCGUAGAUCAGCAUGCUACGGUGAAUACGUUCCCGGGUCUUGUACACACCGCCCGUCACACCACGAGAGUUUGUAACACCCGAAGCCGGUGGAGUAACCUUUUAGGAGCUAGCCGUCGAAGGUGGGACAAAUGAUUGGGGUGAAGUCGUAACAAGGUAGCCGUAUCGGAAGGUGCGGCUGGAUCACCUCCUUUCU
rnacentral:rRNA from 1 species